rnacentral:rRNA from 1 species
GACGAACGCGGCGGCGUGCUUAACACAUGCAAGUCGAACGAAGAGCGAUGGAAGCUUGCUUCUAUCAAUCUUAGUGGCGAACGGGUGAGUAACGCGUAAUCAACCUGCCCUUCAGAGGGGGACAACAGUUGGAAACGACUGCUAAUACCGCAUACGAUCUAAUCUCGGCAUCGAGGAAAGAUGAAAGGUGGCCUCUAUGUAUAAGCUAUCACUGAAGGAGGGGAUUGCGUCUGAUUAGCUAGUUGGAGGGGUAACGGCCCACCAAGGCGAUGAUCAGUAGCCGGUCUGAGAGGAUGAACGGCCACAUUGGGACUGAGACACGGCCCAGACUCCUACGGGAGGCAGCAGUGGGGAAUCUUCCGCAAUGGACGAAAGUCUGACGGAGCAACGCCGCGUGAGUGAUGACGGCCUUCGGGUUGUAAAGCUCUG